UGAUGACCUUUUGUUGCUACUGAAGCAAAUAUGGCCGACCAUGAUGAAUGAGGAUAUCUGUUAUCAACUUUACCAUAAUACAUGAAUAAAAACGAUAGCUGUAAGUAAAAUACACUCAAUUCAAAUAAUUUUACUAAAUAGAAACUUUGCAAAAUUCUGUAUCGUUAGGUCGAAGAAAUCGAUUGUGGUCAAUUAUGGCUUGAAAACUAUCGACUUUGCAUAAAAUGUUGUGAGAGUCUGAGUGGUUAAAUUUACCCUAGAAGCUGCUCCAUAUGGAUUAAAUUAGGGAUACAUUUUCUCAAAACUCGAUUCAGAUAUAUACAUGAUAUAUAAUUUCAUGGAAUAAAGAAAUAAAACAAUCAUAAAACUAUUAUACAAUGUAUUUACUUGCAAAAUAACACAGGGUAACACACACAUACUAGAUUUAUUAUGAAUUUUGCUUUUAUUAUAUAUGUCAUCAUAGUCAUGUGCAAAAUAAAUGUACAAUAGUCUGGAUGGGAACAUUUUCAUUUCAGUAUUCAGGGUUUGAAAUUAGCAUGAGUCCACAAACAAUAGCCCCUACAAUUACAAGCAUUUAGGCAGCAACCAUUUGAUUUUCUGGGGGGGCUAUGGUUUUUUUUUCUGUACAAACUUUUUUUUUCGCCUGCGGCGAAAAACAAUCUAUUUUUUUCGCGACAAGUCGAAAACAAUUUUUUUCUUUCAAUUUUAACAUUACAUAUAGUGGCAGCUGAGGGUGUAACAAACAAUUUUUUUUUUUCAGAAUUCAAAACAAAUUAUUUUUUUCUCCAAAAACUGGAAACAAACUUUUUUUUCCAAAAAAAACCAUAGCCCCCCCCAGAAAAUCAAAUGGUUGCUGCCUUAAGUGUGGGCUACUUCAAUUUUUUUUUUUAUAUAUAUUAUUUUAUAUAUAUGUUGGCAAGGACGUAUAUUAGAUUGUUAGUUAUACGUCCUUGAUGUUGGCUAUAAAAUUUAAGCUGUGGGCUACAAUGCUAAAAUUUUUACUUCAAUCCCUGGUAUUACUAUUUAUUUCAAGAAUAUUUUAUUGAAUUAUUAUCCGGUCAAUUUAUACAAUGUAAUAAUACCCCCCCCCCCCCCAAGUAAAAUCAUUAAGGGCAAAUAAAAAAAUGUGUGUUUCCUAUUUCCCCAUUUACCCUAUGAUUUAAGGUUACAAAUAGCUGCCUGCCUUAGAGUUUUUUUUGUCGUCUUUUCAAUAAGCAUUUUACAAUAUAAUAUCUCUUCCAAUGUUGAAUAAAGUAAAUUCCCUAUUUUUUUCAUAGAUAUUAUUUAAUUUGGCCUUAUAUAUAUACAUGUACUCCUAAUAAAUCUUUUAUUCCUGCAAAAAAUGUACUGUUGACUAUAAUUCUAGGACGCCAGUGAUCAGUUCUAAUGUUGUUUUUUUUUAUCUUACAGAUGGUGACAAAACAGCACAAUGUUUAGACUGAAUCAUAAUGAACAUGAUGAAUAAAACAAAAAGUGUAUAUUAGGUAUUAUUUUAUUUUUAGAUAAUUAUCCUGACUCGCUGUCAUAUGGAAUAAAUAUAUUACAUGUACUUACAUUGAUCUUCUAAAAUACUUCAAUGUUUCAAAUUAAUUCUUAAAAUGAAAACUGAGUUUGACAAGAAGCCAUAUUUUAUCAAAUCGAUUAAUGUAGACAAAUCUUUUUUACAGUUACAAAUGUAUGUGACAGUUAAACACUCAAUAACUUUCUUUAAUUAGUAUAGUAAGAUAAUACAGAGUGAAUGAAUUAUAAAAAAAGGUUGGAUUCAGUUUUUAAUUGUCAAUUAUACUUCCCUCCCCCAUAUUUUUCGAACUAUCUAUUCAUAUAUGUGUAACCAAGAAAUCCACAGUCUAAAACUAGGAGACUGAUAUGAGGAUUUGGUCACAACUAAAUGUUAAACCUAAGUAACCAUGCACCAUAAACUAGUAGUAAUACACAGAAGAUUAAUUCCACUUAGUAUAUAAUUUAUUUCCAAGACUGGAACUUGUCACCAAGCCUGUGACUUCCAAACUUAUAUAUCUUUUACAAAAUAGUACAAUAUAUAUAUAUAUAUGAGAAUUAAACAAUAAGAUAAAAAUCAAUUAUUACAUAAUGUGUUGACAAAUAUAAACAAGUUAUUAUCCAGAUAAAGAAAGAUAAAUAAUUAAUACAACUCUUUUAGCAAUGUCUCUAAUUUAGGGCGAUAUCUUUUUGCGCCAAAAAGUAACUCAUUUGCGCCACAACUUAAUUGCGCCAAUACUUCUUUUGCGCCACCUAAUUUUCAAAACUAUAGGUAUCAUUUGCGCCAAUAAAAUAAUCAUUUAAUUCCGCCAUUUUUAUUUAUUUUUUAUUUUAUUUAGCUCUGAAUUUAUCAAUUUUGAAGGUCGCUCCGACAACAUAUCGCUUGCUUUUCUUUUGCAUUUGUUUCGUGAAUAUGAUCUAAUUCUCCAUUCAAAAUAAUUGCACACGAUUCAUCUGUGAAUAGCCUAGCACAACAGGACUUAACUGUACAUCUCUACCUUAUAUCUUCAGUUUUCUUUACAAUGCCUGACGGAAUUUGUGUUCUUUAACAUGAUGACCGGUUUUCCUCUAUUGGACUCUAUUUUUUUAAUGGUAUAGAAUACAUCUUGACUCGUGACAAAAUAUUCUAUUACUUAACAAUUUAUUUUUUGGUGAGUUUUCUUAAAUUUGAUGAUAGAGUGUAUAGUUAAAUCUUAAAUGGAAAAGUUGAUUAUAGUACAUGUAUGAUAUAUAGGUAAAACAUGUACAGGUAUGAUAUAAGUAAAAAAUAUUUACAGUUAAAUGUGGCGCAAUUUCAUUUCAUUUAUUGGCCAUCAAAAUAAAAAGAGAGUGGCGCAAUUAAUACCUUUUCAAAACUGCAAUUGGCGCAAAUUGAUUCUGCCCCUAAUUUAAGAAGGAUAAAGGAUUAAGCCCUGAGGCAUUAUUGUCACUUUGAUUAUAAAAUGUCCAUUAUCAAUUGGAUAUAUAUUAACUUAUUGUCCAAGUAAAAUAUAUAAUAUAAACAUAAUUAAUGAUAAAUUCUUUGAGUCUCAAACAUAAGCAUUAAAAACCUAAACACAUCUGAAAGUCAUUUUAACUCUGUCAUAUAUGUUUAAUAAAUAAUGCAACAAUUUAUUUUUAGUUAAACUUAUUUUAUUAUCUCUUUAUUAAUUUCAGCUAUGUCAACCAGAAUGACUUUGAACACAGUUAUUGAAUUAGUUUCCUUGGAGACUUUAACAGUAAUUGUUAAGACUUGGAACCAGACAGAAUGAAACUGUGAGAAAGUUUACAUAUACAUGUACAGUGUACAUGUAGCUUCAAUAUGAAUCAAUUGAUACACCGUAAGUAUAUCUUUCUAUGAAAGUUAUAAAUUGGUUGUUCACAAAAUUUAGUUUUUACUAGACAAAUGCUAGAUAUAUUUGAGCAUAUAAUACAAGACCAAAUUAUAUAUUAAAACAAAUACAAAAGUUUUUCUAAAUAUUACUAUAUUUCCUAUAUAUAUGGUGAUAUUAAUUAUAUGAUCAAAUUGUUAGAUACAACUACACUGUAUAAAAUAGAGGAUGUUGUAUGAUUGCCAAUGAGAAAACUCAUCCAAUGAUAGACAAAAAUGACAGCAAUUAACAACUGUAGCCUAAAGUAGGUCACCAUACAGUCUUAAACAAUGAGUAAAUCCCAUACCACACAGAGAGCUAUAAAAGACCCUGUAAUGACAAAUGUAAAACAAUUGAAACAAGAAAUUUGGCCUAGUUUAUGUACAAAAUAAUGAACAAAAAAAAAACAAUAUGUGAUACAACAAACAACAACCACUGAACUACAGCCUCCUGAAUUGGGACAGACAUAAACAUGUGGCAGGGUUAAACAUGAAAGCUGGUGCCCAACCCUCCCCUUACCUGAAACAGUGGUGUAACAGUACAAAAUAAGAACAAAUUAUAAAAUAAGUUGAAAAAGUAUUAACUCAUCAGAUGGAUACAAAAAGAAAUACAUUUAACCAAAAAAAAAGAGGGACAUGCCCAGGUACAAGUAUACAAACAACUGAAAGACAUUCAGUACAGAUAUGAGAUUAUUGACUUUAAGCAAACUCAAGCUUAAUAUGAGGUGUGAAAAAUAACCCUAAAUCUGAUAGGUCCUGCAACUUUUGAACAACAGACUCCAAAAAAUCAAAAUUAAAAGUGAACUCAAUCUAAAUUUUGUGUUAAAAUUUCAUGAGAAAUUGUUCAAAGCAAAGAAGACUAUAAUAUUUAAGGACUAUUUUUGGUCCAAGAAUAUAAAAUGUUUGUCAACUAUUUCAAAAAGACACAUUAUGUUUGGAAAUGUAUAUAACUUUCUUGGAUGCACACAUAUCAAGUCUAAAAUAUAUUUUUAUUUGACCAAAAAAACAAGGAAAAUCAAGAAUUUUACAAAUUUUGUCUAAGUUUAUUGCCAUAGUAACUCUUAAAUUGGUAAAAAAAAAACAUUAUUUUCUGAAAAUGGUGUAAAACCUUUUUUAUUUAGCCCCUUCUACUUUGAGAUAUUGAACAAAGUGUUGUCAUUUGAAAGGAUGGAUGGACAAACAAUGGCAUACCAUAUACAUCCCUUACCUACUGUACAUCAAACCAGAAGUAACAAAGUUAAAAAAAAAAAUGUUUAUAUAUUUUCAGAUCACAAUUAUGUCAACCUAAUCAUUGGAAGUUUACCAAGUUAUAUGAGACGCAUUGAAAGCCUGUAGAGAUUCUACAUGUAUACAUAAAUGGAAUAGACUCACACUUACAAAUAACAAGACUAAUGCACUCUCAAACAAGGAUUAUUCACGUUUCAAUGAGUGAAUUGAAGUGCAUACUAGCUGCGCAUGGAAAUUUGUGUGCAUUUUUAAAUAUUUAUUUUCGUUUGAUUAAAUUUUUGUUUUCAAAAAAUUGCAUGUCUUCAUAAAUUAAGCAUGAACAUACAUGUAUUGUUG
rnacentral:lncRNA from 1 species